rnacentral:tRNA from 1 species
GAGUAUAUAGCUUAAUGGUAAAGCAGUAAACUUUUAAUUUAUUGGUUUUAGGUUCGAAUCCUAAUAUACUCA